CACUGAGAACGCUGCCAAAAUCACUCGCACAGAGUGCAGGGACUCACAAGCACACAAGGGUAAGUGGCUGACAAGAAGCGGGACCCACGGACAGUGUCACCUACGCCUAAGGAAGAAGAGAGUUUCACCAGAGAGAUGCCGGUUGUAGGUCCAGCGAGACAGGACUGAGAGAAGCCGGCAGACAAGAAGCCAGGCGUGCCUAGGUCAUCAUGAGGUACCCGGAAGUGAAAGAGAACACUAAUUCCACAAGGGUGAGAUACAGACAGAGAUUCAGCAAGUUAGAAGAUUUUUGUUGGGAAAAAAGCAUUUGGCAAACAGUGUUUUAGUGAGGCAGUUGGAAGAUUAAUUGCUGAAGUAACACAAUGUGCAACUUGGAGUUCGCACCACCAAAGGCACCCCAUUCAUGGCUGGCUCCUGCAUUGUGCCCAUUUUUGAAGCCCCCUUAACAACUUGAACUAGACAAACUGGUCAAAAGCAGAAUCCUGGUACCAUUAUAGCAGCAGCCACAGAAGACCCUCCAGUUGAAGAGUGAAUGAUUGGUUUAAGCAUUCAUCAAGUUCACUGGCUUGGAAGGAGUAAACAGGAUUUACUGUUCUCUCAGUGAAAAGGAUUUUACUAGGAUCAAGGCUCAUGCCCAGAAGAUGAUUGUGCUGUUUGGAUCAACAUACAUAUAUUUCAAGUCCUACUCCAUGAACAACAAUCUGCAGUUUUAUCCACAUUACAGAUACUGCAGUUUUCUAUCCAUUGUACCAUGAAAUCCAGAGACAAGAACAUUUAUCUCAUACUACAGGAUGCAUCAUGUGGGAGGCUGCUCUAUCGGCCAAUGAGGGUCAUCAGCAUCGUGAUUGCAUAGCUAACUUACCUCAAGCAAUGGAAAAAGUGAGCUGAACCUGUUUUAAUAGUCCAUUGCAGCCUGUGUGUCAAUCUACUUGAUGGUCUCUGGAAGAUACAACUUGAAUUUACGUGGCAAAAAAA